UUCAAAAACCCCCCCUGUGGUUUCAUGCAUUCUCACUUUAGUACCCUGUGGUUUAAAACGUAUCAAUUUGCCCCCCUGUGGUUUCGUUUUUAUCUUUUCAGAAGCUUUUUCGUUAAUAUUUCGUUAAAUUAUAUACAAAAAACUUCAGAUAACCAUCUAUGUUUAUCGAAUAUUCACUUUAGUAUCCUUUAAUUUUAAUUUUGUCACUGAUUUAAGAAAAAAAAAAUAAUAAAAUUGAUAACAAAAAGAGAAAAAUGAAACCACAAGAGGGCAAAUUGAUACGUUUUAAACCACAGGGUAUGAAAGUGAGAAUGCAUGAAACCACAGGGGGGGUUUUUGAAGUUUUCCCU
rnacentral:lncRNA from 1 species